GGCUCAGGCUCAGAAGGUAGCUGCCUAGCUGGAGGCAGAAGUCGUGGCGGUCCUGGUGGCUUCUCUGAAGUAAGGAGCUGCAAUGCCAAAGUACAUUUUGAAUAUUUAGCCUCUGCCACAGACAAUGCCACCUGCAUGGUAUUUUGUAUUUUAAAAAGCUCCUAUGAACAUAAUCGCCUGUUAAUUGUUGCUUAGAGAAAUUAAAAAUGAAUUCCCUAACACA